rnacentral:rRNA from 1 species
GACGAACCGUACGAACGUUAUUCGGAAUCACUGGGCUUAAAGGGUGCGUAGGCUGUGCGGAAAGUUGGGUGUGAAAUCCCUCGGCUCAACCGAGGAACUGCGCCCAAAACUACCGUGCUCGAGGGAGACAGAGGUGAGCGGAACUUACGGUGGAGCGGUGAAAUGCGUUGAUAUCGUAAGGAACACCUGUGGCGAAAGCGGCUCACUGGGUCUCUUCUGACGCUGAGGCACGAAAGCUAGGGGAGCGAACGGGAUUAGAUACCCCGGUAGUCCUAGCCGUAAACGAUGAGCACUGGGUUGGAGGGUCCUCCAUAGCCUUCCAGCCGCAGCGAAAGUGUUGAGUGCUCCGCCUGGGGAGUAUGGUCGCAAGGCUGAAACUCAAAG